AUUGAACGCUGGCGGCAGGCCUAACACAUGCAAGUCGAGCGGAGCGGCGGACGGGUGAGUAAUGCCUAGGACUCUGCCUGGUAGUGGGGGAUAACGUCCGGAACCGGGCGCUAAUACCGCAUACUAUCAGAAGAGCCUAGGUCGGAUUAGCUAGUUGGUGGGGUAAAGGCCUACAAAGGCGACGAUCCGUAACUGGUCUGAGAGGAUGAUCAGUCACACCGGAACUGCGACAAGGUCCAGACUCCUCCGGGAGGCAGCAGUGGGGAAUAGUGGACAAGUGGCGAAAGCCUGAUGCAGCCAUGCCGCGUGUGUGAAGAAGGGCUUCGGAUUGUAAAGUACUUUAAGUUGGGAGGCGUGACCAACAGAAUAAGCACCGGCUAACUUCGUGCCAGCAGCCGCGGUAAUAA
rnacentral:rRNA from 1 species